UCAAGUGACUAAGUGCAUGUGGCGGAUGCCUUGGCGAUCACAGGCGAAGAAAGACGCGGCAGCCUGCGAAAAGCUGCGGGGAGCUGGCAAACGAGCUUUGAUCCGCAGAUAUCUGAAUGGGGGAACCCACACCGCAAGGUGUAUCCGUGACUGAAUACAUAGGUUACGGAGGCGAACGAGGAGAACUGAAACAUCUAAGUAUCCUCAGGAAAAGAAAUCAACCGAGAUUCCGGCAGUAGCGGCGAGCGAACCCGGAGGAGCCUAGCUUUUGAUAGUACGAACUUUAGCCGAAAGGUCCUGGAAAGGCCUGCUAUAGUGGGUGAUAGCCCCGUAGGCGAAAGAGUUCGUACGGUACUAAGGAAGCGAGAAGUAGAGCGGGACACGUGGAAUCCUGUUCGAAGAUGGGGGGACCAUCCUCCAAGGCUAAAUACUCGUGAUCGACCGAUAGUGAACCAGUACCGUGAGGGAAAGGCGAAAAGAACCCCGGGAGGGGAGUGAAAUAGAACCUGAAACCGCAUGCAUACAAACAGUAGGAGCCUCACCAGAGGUGACUGCGUACCUUUUGCAUAAUGGGUCAGCGACUUACAUUCUGUGGCGAGCUUAACCGAAUAGGGGAGGCGCAGCGAAAGCGAGUUCGAAAUGAGCGUCCAGUCGCAGGGUGUAGACCCGAAACCAGAUGAGCUAUCCAUGGCCAGGUUGAAGGUGUGGUAACACACACUGGAGGACCGAACCGACUAGUGUUGCAAAAUUAGCGGAUGAGCUGUGGAUAGGGGUGAAAGGCCAAACAAAUCUGGAGAUAGCUGGUUCUCCCCGAAAACUAUUGAGGUAGUGCCUCGUGUGUCGCUCCAGGGGGUAGAGCACUGUUUUGGCUAGGGGGACAUGGAGUCUUACCAAACCAAGGCAAACUCCGAAUACCUGGAAGCGUGAGCACGGGAGACAGAGCACCGGGUGCUAACGUCCGGACUCAAAAGGGAAACAACCCAGACCGCCGGCUAAGGUCCCAAAUAACAGCUAAGUGGAAAACGAAGUGGAAAGGCCGUGACAACCAGGAAGUUGGCUUAGAAGCAGCCAUCCUUCAAAGAAAGCGUAAUAGCUCACUGGUCGAGUCCUUCUGCGCGGAAGAUGUAACGGGGCUAAGCUGUUAACCGAAGCCGCGGAUGCACUGAUUAUUCAGUGCGUGGUAGGGGAGCGUUCUGUAAGUCUGCGAAGGCGGUUCGAGAGGACUGCUGGAGAUAUCAGAAGUGCGAAUGCUGACAUGAGUAACGUUAAAGCAGGUGAAAAGCCUGCUCGCCGUAAGCCCAAGGAUUCCUGCUCUACGUUCAUCGGAGCAGGGUGAGUCGGCUCCUAAGGUCAGGCCGAAAGGCGUAGCCGAUGGGAAUCAGGUUAAUAUUCCUGAACCUGCGUCAGAUGCGAUGGGGGGACGGAGCAUGAAAGAUCAUCCGGGUGUUGGAUGUCCCGGUUGACGAGCGUAGGAGGUCUGCAGGCAAAUCCGCAGACGCAUCUCCAAGGCGAAGUCACGUGCCGCCACGGCGGCGAAGUGAUCGGAAGUGCUUCCAAGAAAAGCCUCUAAGCACCAGUCUGACGCGGACCGUACCGCAAACCGACACUGGUGGGCGAGCUGAAUAUGCUCAGGCGCUUGAGAGAACUCGGGAGAAGGAACUCGGCAAAUUGACACCGUAACUUCGGAAGAAGGUGUGCCGUAGUACCGUGAGAGGAGAGACACCUUGAGCGGGAAUCGGUCUCAGAGAAUAGGUGGCUGCGACUGUUUAUUAAAAACACAGCACUCUGCAAAGUCGAAAGACGACGUAUAGGGUGUGAUGCCUGCCCGGUGCUGGAAGAUUAAUUGAUGGGGUGAGAGCCCUUGAUCGAAGUCCCAGUAAACGGCGGCCGUAACUAUAACGGUCCUAAGGUAGCGAAAUUCCUUGUCGGGU
rnacentral:rRNA from 1 species